AAAAAAGCAGGGAUCUGUUGCCAUAUGUGAGCAGUUCUCUCGCAAACGUCAGGAAUAGCAUUUUCUCAUUGUUAUUGGGUGAACCUCUGUUAAUUGAUUGUGGCUGAAUGGUUCAGUAAAUGAUGGCACAUUU
rnacentral:snoRNA from 1 species